rnacentral:rRNA from 1 species
AGUGAACGCUGGCGGUAGGCCUAACACAUGCAAGUCGAACGGCAGCACAGUAAGAGCUUGCUCUUACGGGUGGCGAGUGGCGGACGGGUGAGGAAUACAUCGGAAUCUACUUUUUCGUGGGGGAUAACGUAGGGAAACUUACGCUAAUACCGCAUACGACCUACGGGUGAAAGCAGGGGAUCUUCGGACCUUGCGCGAUUGAAUGAGCCGAUGUCGGAUUAGCUAGUUGGCGGGGUAAAGGCCCACCAAGGCGACGAUCCGUAGCUGGUCUGAGAGGAUGCUCGGCCACACUGGAACUGAGACACGGUCCAGACCACUACGGGAGGCAGCAGUGGGGAAUAUUGGACAAUGGGCGCAAGCCUGAUCCAGCCAUACCGCGUGGGUGAAGAAGGCCUUCGGAUUGUAAAGCCCUUUUGUUGGGAAAGAAAAGCAGCAGGUUAAUACCCCGCUGUUCUGACGGUACCCAAAGAAUAAGCACCGGCUAACUUCGUG